GACGAACGCUGGCGGCGUGCUUAACACAUGCAAGUCGAACGGAAAGGCCCUGCUUUUGUGAGGUGCUCGAGUGGCGAACGGGUGAGUAACACGUGAGUAACCUGCCCUUGACUUUGGGAUAACUUCAGGAAACUGGGGCUAAUACCGGAUAGGAGCUCCUGCUGCAUGGUGGGGGUUGGAAAGUUUCGGCGGUUGGGGAUGGACUCGCGGCUUAUCAGCUUGUUGGUGGGGUAGUGGCUUACCAAGGCUUUGACGGGUAGCCGGCCUGAGAGGGUGACCGGCCACAUUGAGACUGAGAUACGGCCCAGACUCCUACGGGAGGCAGCAGUGGGGAAUAUUGCACAAUGGGCGGAAGCCUGAUGCAGCAACGCCGCGUGCGGGAUGACGGCCUUCGGGUUGUAAACCGCUUUCGCCUGUGACGAAGCGUGAGUGACGGUAAUGGGUAAAGAAGCACCGGCUAACUACGUG
rnacentral:rRNA from 1 species